ACUAUAUAGUAUAUACUGUAAAAACCCAACAUAUUUUUUUUUCACAUAAAAUUACUUUUCAACACUGGUGGAACCCACUGGGUCAAAGCUCCUUUCCCCAUUUCUCUUUUCCUCCCUCACUUGCCCGGCACCGUCGGCAAAACCAGAUCAGCCAACUUCGGAGCCUCCAUUGCCACCAUGUGCCGGAGAUGAAUGCACCAUUCGCCAGAAACGACCGCACCGCCAAUGUCUCGCUGCUAUUUGACAACUCAUGUGUUCGUAUGCGCGAAAAAAAAUGAUUUGUUGUCGUGAGAUUUUGAUCACUUUCCGAUCACUACUCUACGAGUGGUUAGUUCCAUUGGAGUCAGCAUCGCAAUUUGAACAAAUUCCGACCAAUCAUUUUGUUCAACUCUUCGCCAUUCUCCGGCAAGAUUAUGAGUACAUUUUCCAACAACACCGGUGACCAUUUGGACUACUUAUAAACAAAAUAGGUUGCUAUAUCGAGAACGUCAAUAAAUAUCUCAGACUUUUUAUUUGAAGGUGUUCGUGUGAUUUUUCUUGAGCUCCAAUGAGGGAUUUGAAGUGGACUUUAAAGAUAUGGCUGACGUUAUUGCUCAAUCUCACGAGGGUGAUGGUGGAGGAUGCGAUCCUCCACGUGGACCAUCAGAUAUCCCAGCUAAUUGUGAAUGAGCGCCUCCAAACAAGCGUGGAUGCCACAAAGGAUUGAACACGCGAGAAAAAAGGGAAGAGUUGUGGCGUCCUCUCCCUCUCGAGUGGAACGUGCGAGGGAUAACAUAUAAAGAGAUUAAAGAUUACAACUCACAUUUCUCAAGAGAGUUGGGAUUGCUUGUUCGACAAUACAUAGAUCCAGACUGUCCUCAAUGGUCAAAAGUACCAAAUGACUCGAAACAAAGAAUACUUAUACAUCUAGAGGAUGAGUUUUUUUAUAUCGAGCGUACCAGAUAUGGACAAGGGCACAUGCCUGGGAUCUUGAGAGGCAUUGAUACAUCAUGUGCCAAAAAGUAUUUUGAUUGGAAGUAUGAUAUUAAGGAACAUUUAACGAUUAAUGGGCCAGAAAAUCGUUAUGGUGGUUGCACAGAUACGCAGUGGCAAAAAGCCAUUGAAUUUUUUCGACACCUAGACAUUUUGGUAUUAAUUUCUUGCUAAACUUAACUCUCUUAAUUAAAUAUAUUACGAACAGAAACUUUUUGCAGAAACGUUCUGGGGUCAACAAGGAAAAUAGGAAGAAACUAAAAGAGCUCACCUACGGAGGUUCUCAGUCAAUCCCAGCACUCCGCUACAAAAAAAUUAUUUAAUUAAUUCUUUUUAAGUUUGUUUUUCUUAUUUACGUUUAAUUUUUUUUAAAAAAAAUAUGUAUGUGACGAUGCAAUUUAGAGACUGGGAAACUUGAGCCGAUCCAAGAUAGUUGGAUCAAUACUCACCAUAAAUCAUGCACAGGGUGGGUGACAAAAACAGCCAAAAAACCCUAGGAUGAAUUGCGUGCAUAUCGCAACACACAACAGACACAGUCAAUUGAUACUGAGAGUUCCACACCAAUUUCGAGCGCGCCUGAAGAUGACGACUUGUCUUUGGUACAAACUGUCUUCGAAAAAUGACGUGGAUACCAGAAAGGAUAUGGGCGUAUCCUUAACAUAAGGGGCCAAACUCCAUUUACUAUUGAUCCUCCACAAACUAUAGAUGAAGAGAUGGCUGAGAUGAGAGAGUGUGUUCGACAAUUAGAGGAGCACAUCUGGACUCAUUGUAUCACCCCGAGAUCUUAAUGUGCCCCACCACCACUUGAUGAUCCCUAUGUUGGAGCACCAAGUUAGUAGGACUUAUGUAUGAAUUUUAUUAUUAUGGACUAUUACAUUUUCAUGUUUAGGACAACUCUUUAUUUUGAUUGAGCAAAUGUACUCUUAUGUUUUUAUUUAUAUGUUUAAUAUAAUUGUUUAAUUUUAAUCUA